UAGUGGAUCACCAUGAGUUUCUAAUGGAUGAGCUUGGGCUUACCACAAGUUAUGGCAAUCAUCAGAAAUUUAGUACAAGUUGUCCUAGCGGAUCAUUAUGUGUUUCUGAUGAAUGGGCUUAUCACAAUUCACAAGUUAUGGCGAUCAUCAAGAGUCUAGUAUAAAAUUAUUUUGGCGGAUAAUCAGAGAGUUUCUGAUUGAUAGCAUUUCCACGAGUCCUAGUGGAUCGUCAAAAAUUUAGUACAAGAUAUGUCGUAACUUUGAAAAAAAUUGUUCACAAUUCCUUGCGAACCACCAUAAGUAUGUGAGAAAUUUCACCAACCUAUUUUUGCUUCAAAAUUAAUUCAAAUUUGUCCAAAUCAACUCCAAGUGACUCCAAAUUUGAUAUUUGACAUUCUAAUACCAAUUCCAAUAAUUUCCGAUGGUUAUUCCACCCAAUCCUUCUUUAACAAACAAGCUCAACAAAACUCAAUAAUAGUUGUUCUUCAAGUUUUCCAAUCAAACCAUCCACAAAUAAAUGGAUCUUUGGUUAUCUAUUGCACAUAUAAAGAAGAUGAAAAAGAAUGAGAAAGGAGGAGGAGGAGAUGCACAAUUUCUGGUAAAGGAUUAUAGUCGCACUACUUUUCUUAGCGAGAUUAAAUUUAAACACUGGUCCUUAAUGGGGACACAUAGUUAAAUUUUUUGCAGCUUCAUAGCCUUGCAAUAAAUAAUAAGGGGGAAAAAGACGAUGUCCUUUCGCAAUCAAAAGUUGGAAUUAAGAUUUCCUUCUUUGUUUCUUCUUUUUUUUUUUUUUUCUUUCAACCUUUGGAAUGUCUCUAUUUCAACCUUUUUAGCUUCAAAAAACAUUGCCGUUUUCUAGUAUCAUUCAAACUUCUUUUAGCUUCAAAAAGCAUUUAUGCCUCUAGCAUAAUUCAUACUUUUUGUUUUCUCCACCUCAGAAAAUGUUGUUUAGAAAUGUGUUCUCUUCCCCGCAGGAGAAAAAUCAAUAGAACCAAAUAAGCAACCUCUUUCCUUCUUGCUCGUGGCUUCUUUCCAACAUAGGUCAAUAGGUUGUUCAUUAGCUCCAGCUCGACUAAUCAUACAAAUCAAAAACAGUUCUGAACUUCGACCAACUAAGCAAUAUAUUUUUAUUUUUCUCAAGUUCUAAAAUUUUAUUGACUUUUGUCGUUUAAUGUUCCUACACUUUAGGUUAACGUAAUCCAAUCUUUUUAACGGAUAUCCUUCUCAACGUAGAAACAUAAGACUAUAAAGAAGAUAAUUUAUAUUCACAUUAAAACAAACUCCUUAAACACAAUAAAAUCUCUGGCACUUAACCGUUGAAUUGAAAUAAUGAAACUUCAAGGAAACCAAGGGAAUGUAGACUUGAGAAGUUGACUAGAAGAACCAUGCUGAUGGCAUUAUAUUGCUGUAUUGAUAGUUACUAAGCUUGUGAAGAAUUUGUACCAUUGAUAGUUACAAUAUAUUCAGAAUAGCAGAAUUUUCAUUGACAUUGUUUUCAAUCUAUCAAAAAUAAUUUGAAGUGUCUUCAUCCAUUGAACUAGAUCAUGAGUUCACUGACCCACCGAAUAAGAAAAAAUCUAGAGUUUGGCAAGAGCUCGGAUCAAACACAGAUGAGAAUGGUGUUUCUGUUACUGUGUAAAUGAAAUUAAAAUAUUAGAAACAAUACUUCUUUUGACAUGUUUAGUAACUGGUUGCUAUGUUGCAUGGACUCUUCAUUUUAACUGCUAAACCCGUGUCGGCACGACACUAGUACUGGUAAGAAUGUGGUAUUCGUACCGGGUGUGAUCAAUCGAGAUCGGGUACUUUGACCACAAUCCAUGGCUGCUUGCUAGUGCCUAGUGGCAACAACUUGAGAAAUUACCAAAAUGAAAGAUUGAACUAUCAACUGCACUCCAUAACCUAUAGUAUUUCACAGAAUAUUUCUCAUAAUUUAGGAUAUUUAUAUAGUAUCUUUAGAAUUUUGAAUUACUUUCAGCCAAGACCCUGCAUCCGUAUACGUACCUUGAUUACCCCAGAAUCAUAAAAAUUUGAUUAUGAAGGAUCCAACUUCUAGAUCCGCUCUCUGAUUGGAUACCUGCACCCGAGUCCGAGCAACAUAGACUGUUUCUCUAUGAUAACUGGCAGCAGGAAAAAAAGCUAUAUGGGAAGUUAAAAGCUUUGAGAAAAAAUGAGUUGAAGUAAAAGAUUUGCUUCUUAUCUGCUCAAAGAGGAACAAGCUGCAGACAUACUGGAAGAAGCAAUAUAGUUAAGUAUAGUUGAACUCGAAACGCAGACCUUACUGUCUCACUUGAACCAAAAAACAUUUCACCCCUUUAAUUAAAACCUUAGCUAUUCAACAAAUGCCUUAUUGAUAAAAGAUUUUAUUUCUAAAGUAUAAAUUUUGGUAUUAAAAUCUGAAACAUAGAAAGAAAUGUAAGCCAAACCAAAAGGCAAUAAACAUGUCAACUUGGAAACUGGAAAGAAAUAGCUCUAAAAUAUUUCAUUCUGGCUUCGCCAUAUAUAAGAUAAAAGUUGUGGUUCUCUCGGUUGUUGUCUUAGCAAAGAUAAUCAGAACUUCCUAUCUCAAAUAACAAUAGAUUGAAUUAAUCAAUCAUAAGGGGAGCUAAAAACUCCACUUUUCCUCUUCUGUACUAAAAUAUAAACGAAAAGGAAAUAUGAUAUUCCCAUUGAAAUAAAUAUGUUAUUUUGAUUCCAACUAUACCAAAUGGUGACCUAACAUUGCAGAGAGAGAUAUACCAAAAUCGCAUGAAAGAGGCAACAGCACGUGACUGGGAAAAACAUAGACUAAAAAUUGUAAUAAUGCAAACCAAAUUUCAACAGUUUAAGUCUGAUAUUGUCGUCUCUUCUCAGAUCUGCAUUAAAGGAGUAAUCAUACUACAAUUAAGGGUUAUUAACAUCUUUUCUCCUCUCAUUACCACCGCCAAACCCACGAGCAGAGCCAAAUAGCACAUCCUAUUCAUGCCUAGAACAUUCCACUCUUUCAAAACACAUGUCUUCAGCCGCAUUGAUUAUCAGCUUCAUUUAUUGGAACUAGAAUAACUUAAUCUCAUAGUAAGGAUCUGUCCUAAAGAAACAGAGCGAAAAGAGGCAAUUGCAGGUUGUUUUUUCUAAGAACUUCCCAAUUUAAGAGAAAUUAAAAGUAAGAAACAAUAAUUUACUUCACUAAUAGUACAAAAUCUCAAGAACCAACUUUUCAACUCGGGGAAUCAUGGCAGCCUGGUUGGUUGGCUAUCUGAACCUCCACUUCGUUGUUUGGGAUUCCAUUCCCCACCUUGUAAUCUCCUCACUAUAUCCCCUUCCCCUUCCCACUUAUGUAUAAUUAAAAAAAUAAUUAGAAAAUUUUAAAAUCAGUGAUGUUAAAUCACUAUGUUCAUGUCUAAGGUACAGGAAGUUCUCAGUGCAACAAACUUGGAUGUACAUUCAUUUGACUUCUCCCAGGUGCCCUGCCGAUAUCAAAAUUUAGUAAAUUUUAUAUCAAACUCAGAAACUAAGUCUUCUUUUAAUAUAUACAGAUGCAUCAAGUCUUGGUGGAACUUUUAACAAAAGUUAAAAAGUAUACAUCCAUGAUUUAUUGUGGAAGUAAAAGAUAAACCGUAACGAUGACAAUGUUGGCUCAAUCUUGGACAACACCUAAAGAUUUUGCUGGUUAGGUCCAUCCUAAGACGCGAUAUCUCAGCUUCUCAAGCUACUUCUGUCUCUUUAGCUUUCUAUUUGUAUUUUUUUUCUUCUCUUUUCCUUCUUCUUUGGAAUGACGACUGUUUGCCUUUAUUCUAAGCUUCAUAAGUUACCAACCAUUUUCCAAUUGGAUUCUAGAGAAGUUAAAGAGGAAGAAAGCUCACUGCUGGAAAUUGCAGUGUUGCUGGAGGCGGAAGCUUAACGGUGAUUAGCCUUGUGUUGGGUGCUAUGCUACCAUAUAAAGAUAUAUUUAUUGAAUUUUUGUUCUUUAAGGUUCCUCCUGGCAGUUUUAGGUAUACUUCUGAAGGAACUAAUAAUAAAAUAGUUCAUUUGCUGUGUUUAAUUAUGCUCAAUCUUUUUUAGAAAAUAAUUCAGUAGAGUUUUUUUUUUAAUGGAUUUGGUAAUGCAAGAGUUAGCAUUCUGAUAGU
rnacentral:lncRNA from 1 species